AUGAAAGCUGAAAGCCUUAAAAGGGUUUUGGAUUGUGAAUUUGGAAGUUCUUGUGGCUGUUUUUUUGAAGUAUUAUCUCGAUCACUGCUUUACAAAAAAUAAGUCAACGUUUGGUUAUGUUGUAAAACUUUUUAAAGGGUUUAAUGAAUGUUAUUGUGUAGAUAGAUUUCUAUGUUGUACUUCAUAUCUAAUUUGUUUAGUUGUUCAAAAAAUUCAAAAGUUAAUCAAGAUUGUAUUUGGAUUUAUGAGAAUUUGGAACGAAGUAAAAUGGACAGGGACAAAAGCCAAGCCCUUGGACUUGUAGACCGUUUCUGAUGUUGUCAAAAUUUUGCUACAAAAUUAGAUCACAAUUAUUUCAAUUUGUCAAUUUCAGUCCAACGAUACUCAUGAAUCACACUUCUUGCAAAAGAAUGAAGAUGAUAACUCAAAUUCGUUGUUUUAGAGCUAGUCCCUCUCUUCCUCUGUUAGCUCUGCUCCUCUUAUAAUUGAAAGCCCUCUGUGGGUUGAAAUUUGUGAUUUUUCUUCUUUUCAAUUCAUAAUUGUGCAAUGGAAGAAAUUAAAUAGAAAAAGAG
rnacentral:misc_RNA from 1 species